GGUUAAGCGACUAAGCGUACACGGUGGAUGCCCUGGCAGUCAGAGGCGAUGAAGGACGUGCUAAUCUGCGAUAAGCGUCGGUAAGGUGAUAUGAACCGUUAUAACCGGCGAUUUCCGAAUGGGGAAACCCAGUGUGUUUCGACACACUAUCAUUAACUGAAUCCAUAGGUUAAUGAGGCGAACCGGGGGAACUGAAACAUCUAAGUACCCCGAGGAAAAGAAAUCAACCGAGAUUCCCCCAGUAGCGGCGAGCGAACGGGGAGCAGCCCAGAGCCUGAAUCAGUGUGUGUGUUAGUGGAAGCGUCUGGAAAGGCGCGCGAUACAGGGUGACAGCCCCGUACACAAAAAUGCACAUGCUGUGAGCUCGAUGAGUAGGGCGGGACACGUGGUAUCCUGUCUGAAUAUGGGGGGACCAUCCUCCAAGGCUAAAUACUCCUGACUGACCGAUAGUGAACCAGUACCGUGAGGGAAAGGCGAAAAGAACCCCGGCGAGGGGAGUGAAAAAGAACCUGAAACCGUGUACGUACAAGCAGUGGGAGCACGCUUAGGCGUGUGACUGCGUACCUUUUGUAUAAUGGGUCAGCGACUUAUAUUCUGUAGCAAGGUUAACCGAAUAGGGGAGCCGAAGGGAAACCGAGUCUUAACUGGGCGUUAAGUUGCAGGGUAUAGACCCGAAACCCGGUGAUCUAGCCAUGGGCAGGUUGAAGGUUGGGUAACACUAACUGGAGGACCGAACCGACUAAUGUUGAAAAAUUAGCGGAUGACUUGUGGCUGGGGGUGAAAGGCCAAUCAAACCGGGAGAUAGCUGGUUCUCCCCGAAAGCUAUUUAGGUAGCGCCUCGUGAACUCAUCUCCGGGGGUAGAGCACUGUUUCGGCAAGGGGGUCAUCCCGACUUACCAACCCGAUGCAAACUGCGAAUACCGGAGAAUGUUAUCACGGGAGACACACGGCGGGUGCUAACGUCCGUCGUGAAGAGGGAAACAACCCAGACCGCCAGCUAAGGUCCCAAAGUCAUGGUUAAGUGGGAAACGAUGUGGGAAGGCCCAGACAGCCAGGAUGUUGGCUUAGAAGCAGCCAUCAUUUAAAGAAAGCGUAAUAGCUCACUGGUCGAGUCGGCCUGCGCGGAAGAUGUAACGGGGCUAAACCAUGCACCGAAGCUGCGGCAGCGACGCUUAUGCGUUGUUGGGUAGGGGAGCGUUCUGUAAGCCUGUGAAGGUGUGCUGUGAGGCAUGCUGGAGGUAUCAGAAGUGCGAAUGCUGACAUAAGUAACGAUAAAGCGGGUGAAAAGCCCGCUCGCCGGAAGACCAAGGGUUCCUGUCCAACGUUAAUCGGGGCAGGGUGAGUCGACCCCUAAGGCGAGGCCGAAAGGCGUAGUCGAUGGGAAACAGGUUAAUAUUCCUGUACUUGGUGUUACUGCGAAGGGGGGACGGAGAAGGCUAUGUUGGCCGGGCGACGGUUGUCCCGGUUUAAGCGUGUAGGCUGGUUUUCCAGGCAAAUCCGGAAAAUCAAGGCUGAGGCGUGAUGACGAGGCACUACGGUGCUGAAGCAACAAAUGCCCUGCUUCCAGGAAAAGCCUCUAAGCAUCAGGUAACAUCAAAUCGUACCCCAAACCGACACAGGUGGUCAGGUAGAGAAUACCAAGGCGCUUGAGAGAACUCGGGUGAAGGAACUAGGCAAAAUGGUGCCGUAACUUCGGGAGAAGGCACGCUGAUAUGUAGGUGAAGUCCCUCGCGGAUGGAGCUGAAAUCAGUCGAAGAUACCAGCUGGCUGCAACUGUUUAUUAAAAACACAGCACUGUGCAAACACGAAAGUGGACGUAUACGGUGUGACGCCUGCCCGGUGCCGGAAGGUUAAUUGAUGGGGUCAGCGCAAGCGAAGCUCUUGAUCGAAGCCCCGGUAAACGGCGGCCGUAACUAUAACGGUCCUAAGGUAGCGAAAUUCCUUGUCGGGUAAGUUCCGACCUGCACGAAUGGCGUAAUGAUGGCCAGGCUGUCUCCACCCGAGACUCAGUGAAAUUGAACUCGCUGUGAAGAUGCAGUGUACCCGCGGCAAGACGGAAAGACCCCGUGAACCUUUACUAUAGCUUGACACUGAACAUUGAGCCUUGAUGUGUAGGAUAGGUGGGAGGCUUUGAAGUGUGGACGCCAGUCUGCAUGGAGCCGACCUUGAAAUACCACCCUUUAAUGUUUGAUGUUCUAACGUUGACCCGUAAUCCGGGUUGCGGACAGUGUCUGGUGGGUAGUUUGACUGGGGCGGUCUCCUCCUAAAGAGUAACGGAGGAGCACGAAGGUUGGCUAAUCCUGGUCGGACAUCAGGAGGUUAGUGCAAUGGCAUAAGCCAGCUUGACUGCGAGCGUGACGGCGCGAGCAGGUGCGAAAGCAGGUCAUAGUGAUCCGGUGGUUCUGAAUGGAAGGGCCAUCGCUCAACGGAUAAAAGGUACUCCGGGGAUAACAGGCUGAUACCGCCCAAGAGUUCAUAUCGACGGCGGUGUUUGGCACCUCGAUGUCGGCUCAUCACAUCCUGGGGCUGAAGUAGGUCCCAAGGGUAUGGCUGUUCGCCAUUUAAAGUGGUACGCGAGCUGGGUUUAGAACGUCGUGAGACAGUUCGGUCCCUAUCUGCCGUGGGCGCUGGAGAACUGAGGGGGGCUGCUCCUAGUACGAGAGGACCGGAGUGGACGCAUCACUGGUGUUCGGGUUGUCAUGCCAAUGGCACUGCCCGGUAGCUAAAUGCGGAAGAGAUAAGUGCUGAAAGCAUCUAAGCACGAAACUUGCCCCGAGAUGAGUUCUCCCUGACUCCUUGAGAGUCCUGAAGGAACGUUGAAGACGACGACGUUGAUAGGCCGGGUGUGUAAGCGCAGCGAUGCGUUGAGCUAACCGGUACUAAUGAACCGUGAGGCUUAACCUU
rnacentral:rRNA from 1 species